UCGGCAACGGGUGUGUAGUGAGUGAGCGGUCAUCUCAUGAGAUGAGUGCGUGGUGGUAGCUGUUGAACUGGACUCGACUCGACUCGCGGAGCGUUCGAGCGAGUGAGUGAGUCAGGAGCGGUAGUAGAGGAAGAAAGGUCGAAAAGAAGGAGGGGGCGGGACACCUGACACGGGGGGCGAACGAAACGAGCGACGGAAAAGGGGGAGGGAGGGAGAGGAGAGGAGAAAGAAUUUUUCGACGAGGGAGAGGGGGAGCGUGGAGGAGAGAGAGAGAUGAAGCAGAAGAGAGAGAGACGGAACCGUACCGACGGACUCCAGUUUAUGGGUAGGGCGAAAGAGAGAGAAAGAGCGUGUUAGAAACAGGGUCUAAGGUUGGGAGUGGAGGGGAGGUAGGUAAAUAAAAUCGCGGACGGACGAUCGACGAGACGAAGUAGAGAUGGGGUACCGGUACCGAAGGUGCCGCCGCCAGUCGCUCGGGGGCUGCCUCGUUUUCGCGGCGGUCGAACCGAAGACUCGAGACUGGAGCGGAGAGUGGGUGGGGCGUGGAUGGAUGGUCAUGUCAGUGACUCAUCGUUCGAGUCGAGUCGAGCCGAACUGAACUUCACCACGCAUCGUCAACCAACCAACCAAACGACGCGCCUCUCCUCGCCUACCUCUCGUCUACCUCCUUCCGGUUCUACAGCGACCCCGAGUUGGAGACGCAGAUGCACGGGGCCUGCGACCUGCUGGACCUGCGGCCGGGCGGGAGGUGCCCGAGGAGGUGCCGGCGCGAGCAGAGCGGCCGCCGGAGGAGGAUGCGGUGGUCGCGGUUGUGGUGGGGGUGGCGGCUGGGCCCGUCGCGGUUCCCGGGGCCGCGCGAGUACGGGUGGUGGGGCUGCGGGUGGAGGCGGCCGGAGGCGGAGAGGUUCAGGCCGUCGUUCAGGAAGUUCUUUUGUACACGUUAUACGAACUGGUAUUACUUUGGACCAGUCCCGGUACGAGAUAAGUGCCGUCUCACGAGUGUAUGGAAAGUGAAGGUAACGUAUAGACGUUUACAAUUCGUACCUUCGUUGUUAACGGGUCAAACAGCGUGGCUUACCUUCCUUGAAGGUAAGGCACCGGGCGACCAACGACGUUAGGGAGUUCCUUCACGUUCCUAAUUAGGACAAUUACCCGUCGUUUUACCGCCGGUGUACUGUGAUAACGCUGGUGAGGGAGCACGAGCAAGAAGACCGGCGGAAGUAGUACAUUGAACAAACAACGGACUGUGACUGGCUUCACAAAAGUUACUACUACUCGGGAACCUAAACACACUUCGUUGACUACUGGUAGUCGUUCCUACAAGUUCUUGUCAUCUCUAUUGCUGUGUGGGACUCAAGUGACUUUAUGGUCUUUCAUGAAGUCUUUCUUCGAAGUGACAAGAUUAAGUAGAUUUCCGUGGGGAACGAGUCUUAAACGUACAUGGACCUCUACUGUCAUCGGGUUUGUGACCAGCUCGGGGUCAACUAGAAUAGUGACACGAACUACAGUCACCAUCGUACCGACCAUGGUUUGAACGUAACGACUUCUCCCGGUACCCCAAACAGUAAGUCUUGGAACCGAGGAGUCUAGCCGAAAGACAGUAGCGGAAGAGUAGUAGACGUGCGUCCGAGAAGGGAGAAGCAGCCUACUGGCUUAGACCAGCAUUCGUUUCGAACGAUCGUCAGUUAAGAGACUGCAGUUUACCACCGUGGUUGUAACGACUCCCAGACUCUUUUCCGAGGUUUCACUAACUUCUUGCUGUCCGGUUCUUAGGUCAGACGUCGUAAUAGGAAAAUAGUCUGCCCGUUCUGUGUAUAUGUCAGAGUGGUUCAUGGCCACGUGUGUUUGGUAAAUGUCAGAGUGGUUGACGGUCACGUGUCUUUCGUAGUCGCCUCAUAACACGCGAGAACGGUAGAUGAUUACCAUCAGUCGUCCAUGGUCAAGUACACAAGCCCAAGCCACGACUGGUACUACGUCAAAGCGAGGUAAGCUAGAGAGUUUGGAGACCACCCUGGAAAAGUAAGUAGCUCUGUCUCCAAUGGUAGGUUCUACGUAAACGAGUUACAUAACCACCUGAAAACUCACACCAGCGUGUCCUAAAUGCACAUUUCCACCUCUCACAGGUGGGACUACACGUGAAACCAAGGUAGUCUAGUCCGUCGAUGAGGUCGUCUUAACGUCUACUAUUCUCCUUACCCAGGUAACUACAACCACUGGACAUACGACUUCUCCUUUCCCUAAAAGAAUACUGAGACUUGCAAGGGGUUCCCACACCGCUUCUUUGCCGUGAAGAGUUUCAACCGACACAGAUGUUUCUAGGCGACUACUUCCUCUGGUAGUUGUACCGACUCCACGUCCACUUCUAGAGGUCCGGCCGUAAGCACAGCCACGUUUGGCACAGCUAGGUCCACCUGGCCGUCUUCUUGGCAGAAGUACGUCGGCUCCACUACCGGCGUCGUUCCAAGAGGCGCCUCGCACCGCUCGACCGUGUGCGACAGAGUGACGAGCUCCUGACGGCCUCUUACUAGUACCCUAGUCGCAGCCCCGUCAGGCCACUGGCCGACACGGUCAGCGACCUGCGGCUCGACUUCCUCUACGUCCUCUCCUACCGUUCGGCCGUCUCCAUGCUCCGCAGGCCCGCGCGGAUGCACGACAGCCCGGACUCGAGCGUGAGCACCGUCUCCCGCUGGAGGGCGCCGCUGAGGUGCCUGUCGCUCUCGGACUAGGUCCGGAUGGUCUGCUGCAGCUACCACCUGUACCACGACGCGAGGGUCUGCGACUGGGCGAGCAGCUGGGGCUUCGUCUGGGGCGUCUACUCCGUGCGGUUCAGCAAAGGCCGCGCGGGCGUCGGAUCCAUCCAUUUUUUUUUGCAAAGGGCCGCAGCGGCAGCUGGCCGCGGUUUUAUUCCUAGAAAUCGACUUAAAUCUAAGACACCUUCGUCGUCAUCACCACAGUCAACCUAAGAACCAAAAACAACCCCACACCCCCACUACCCUAACCCAACCCCCACCAUGUUUACCAAACCAUAUUCCUCUACAUUUAAACAAAACCC
rnacentral:rRNA from 1 species